AACGAACGCUGGCGGCAGGCUUAACACAUGCAAGUCGAACGCCCCGCAAGGGGAGUGGCAGACGGGUGAGUAACGCGUGGGAAUCUACCCAGUUCUACGGAACAACACAGGGAAACUUGUGCUAAUACCGUAUACGCCCUACGGGGGAAAGAUUUAUCGGAAUUGGAUGAGCCCGCGUUGGAUUAGCUAGUUGGUGGGGUAAUGGCCUACCAAGGCGACGAUCCAUAGCUGGUCUGAGAGGAUGAUCAGCCACACUGGGACUGAGACACGGCCCAGACUCCUACGGGAGGCAGCAGUGGGGAAUAUUGGACAAUGGGCGCAAGCCUGAUCCAGCCACGCCGCGUGAGUGAUGAAGGCCUUAGGGUUGUAAAGCUCUUUCAGUGGGGACGAUAAUGACGGUACCCACAGAAGAAGCCCCGGCUAACUUCGUGCCAGCAGCCGCCGUAAUAC
rnacentral:rRNA from 1 species